AGUGAACGCUGGCGGCAGGCCUAACACAUGCAAGUCGAGCGGCAGCGGGUCCUUCGGGCUGCCGGCGAGCGGCGGACGGGUGAGGAAUGCAUCGGAAUCUGCCCUGUCGUGGGGGAUAACCUAGGGAAACUUAGGCUAAUACCGCAUACGACCCACGGGUGAAAUCGGGGGAUCGCAAGACCUCGCGCGAUAGGAUGAGCCGAUGUCCGAUUAGCUAGUUGGCGGGGUAAAGGCCCACCAAGGCGACGAUCGGUAGCUGGUCUGAGAGGAUGAUCAGCCACACUGGGACUGAGACACGGCCCAGACUCCUACGGGAGGCAGCAGUGGGGAAUAUUGGACAAUGGGCGCAAGCCUGAUCCAGCCAUGCCGCGUGGGUGAAGAAGGCCUUCGGGUUGUAAAGCCCUUUUGUCCGGGAAGAAAUCGUCUGGGCUAAUACCCCGGGCGGAUGACGGUACCGGAAGAAUAAGCACCGGCUAACUUCGUG
rnacentral:rRNA from 1 species